AGCAGCCGCCGCGGUAAGACGAACCGAGCGAACGUUAUUCGGAAUCACUGGGCUUAAAGGGUGCGUAGGCGGACUGUCAAGUCUGGGGUGAAAGCCCAGGGCUCAACCUUGGAACUGCAUUUUUAACUACCGGACUAGAGUAUGUCAGAGGGAGGUGGAAUUCCACGUGUAGCAGUGAAAUACGUAGAUAUGUGGAGGAACACCGAUGGCGAAGGCAGCCUCCUGGGAUAAUACUGACGCUCAUGCACGAAAGCGUGGGGAGCAAACAGGAUUAGAUACCCCCGUAGUCCCUGUCUCUUAUAC
rnacentral:rRNA from 1 species